CCCUUAGACGCUCUAGGCGGCACGCGCGCUACAAUGGGUGGUAGAACGUGUAACUACUCCCGAAAGGGAGGGUGAACCACGAAUACUUACCCGUGAAUGGGAUAGUUUGUUGCAAUUUUCGGACUUGAACUAGGAAUCCCUUGUAAGAAUGCUCAAGAAUAGCGUGCUGAAUACGUCCCUGCCGUUUGUACACACCGCCCGUCGUUUCUUCCGACUGAUACUCAUUGUGAGUUGCAAGGAUUCUUAUUGAAAAAUUGCUGCGAAUGCUUUGUAUUGGAGGAAGAAAAAGUCGUAACA
rnacentral:rRNA from 1 species